GGAUGCCGUGGCUUUGGAUUCCACAAGUUUGCGAUUAAUCUGGAGGUGCGUUGGGUGCAGCUAAUGUUAUAUCAGUCGAUUAUAGUUUGUAGCUUGUAUCUUAAUAAAUUAUUAAUUAAUUGUAAAUAAAUGUAUUUUGGUUUUAAUUGCUUUUAUUAA